UAAUAGCGUAUAUUAAAGUUGUUGCAGUUAAAAAGCUCGUAGUCGGAUGUCGGGCUCGGGCAGGCUGUCGGCUUCGGUCGGACGGCAGGCUCGGGUCUUUCUGCCUGAGGAUCCAUCUCAUUCACUUGGGGUGGGGACGCAGGCCGUUUACUUUGAAAAAAUUAGAGUGUUCAAAGCAGGCCUACGCUUGAAUACAUUAGCAUGGAAUAAUGGAAUAGGACUUUGGUGCUAUUUUGUUGGUUUAUGGGACCGAAGUAAUGAUUAACAGGGACAGUUGGGGCCGUUUAUAUUUCGUUGUCAGAGGUGAAAUUCUUGGAUUUACGAAAGAUAAACUUCUGCGAANGNAUUCGGNAAGGAUGUUUNCAUUG
rnacentral:rRNA from 1 species